GAUGAACGCUGGCGGCGUGCCUAAUACAUGCAAGUCGAGCGAACAGACGAGGAUUUUGCUCCUCUGACGUGAGCGGCGGACGGGUGAUUAACAGGUGGAUAACCUACCUAGAAGAAUGGGAUAAGGUCGGGAAACCGGAUCCAAUAUACGACAAGAUAUUGAACCGCAUGGUUCAAUAGUGAAAGACGGUUUUGCUGUCACUUAUAGAUGGAACCUCGCCGCAUUAGCUAGUUGGUAAGGUAACGGCUUACCAAGGCAACGAUGCGUAGCCGACCUGAGAGGGUGAUCAGCCACACUGGAACUGAGACACGGUCCAGACUCCUACGGGAGGCAGCAGUAGGGAAUCUUCCGCAAUGGGCGAAAGCCUGACGCAGCAACGCCGCGUGAGUGAUGAAGGUCUUCGGAUCGUAAAACUCUGUUAUUAGGGAGGAACAAAAGUGUAAGUAUCUAUGCACGUCUUGACGGUACCUAAACAGAAAGCCCCGGCUAACUACGUG
rnacentral:rRNA from 1 species